UACAGAGGUCUCAAGCGUUGUUCGGAUUCAUUGGGCGUAAAGGGUGCGUAGGCGGCGAGGUAAGUCGGAUGUGAAAUCCCGGGGCUUAACCCCGGAACUGCAUUCGAUACUGCCUUGCUCGAGUACUGGAGAGGAGACUGGAAUUUACGGUGUAGCAGUGAAAUGCGUAGAUAUCGUAAGGAAGACCAGUGGCGAAGGCGAGUCUCUGGACAGUUACUGACGCUGAGGCACGAAGGCCAGGGGAGCAAACAGG
rnacentral:rRNA from 1 species